rnacentral:tRNA from 1 species
GGCUCGGUAGGCAAUCGGCAGACCACCUUGACUCAGAUUCAGGGAUGCUGUGGGUUCGACUCCCACCUGAGCUA